rnacentral:rRNA from 1 species
CCGAGUUUACAACUCCCAAACCCAAUGUGAACGUUACCAAACUGUUGCCUCGGCGGGAUCUCUGCCCCGGGUGCGUCGCAGCCCCGGACCAAGGCGCCCGCCGGAGGACCAACCAAAACUCUUUUUGUAUACCCCCUCGCGGGUUUUUUAUAAUCUGAGCCUUCUCGGCGCCUCUCGUAGGCGUUUCGAAAAUGAAUCAAAACUUUCAACAACGGAUCUCUUGGUUCUGGCAUCGAUGAAGAACGCAGCGAAAUGCGAUAAGUAAUGUGAAUUGCAGAAUUCAGUGAAUCAUCGAAUCUUUGAACGCACAUUGCGCCCGCCAGUAUUCUGGCGGGCAUGCCUGUCCGAGCGUCAUUUCAACCCUCGAACCCCUCCGGGGGGUCGGCGUUGGGGAUCGGCCCUGCCUCUUGGCGGUGGCCGUCUCCGAAAUACAGUGGCGGUCUCGCCGCAGCCUCUCCUGCGCAGUAGUUUGCACACUCGCAUCGGGAGCGCGGCGCGUCCACAGCCGUUAAACACCCAACUUCUGAAAUGUUGACCUCGGAUCAGGUAGGAAUACCCGCUGAACUUAAGCAUAUAA